UACGUAGGGGGCAAGCGUUGUCCGGAUUUAUUGGGCGUAAAGAGCUCGUAGGUGGUUCGGUAAGUCGGAUGUGAAAUCUCCAGGCUCAACCUGGAGGGGUCAUUCGAUACUGCCGUGACUAGAGUUCGGUAGGGGAGUGUGGAAUUCCAGGUGUAGCGGUGAAAUGCGUAGAUAUCUGGAGGAACAUCGGUGGCGAAGGCGGCAUCCUGGACCGGUAUUGACGCUGAGGCGCGAAAACCAGGGGAGCAAACGGG
rnacentral:rRNA from 1 species